rnacentral:lncRNA from 1 species
GGGAUGGAACUUACGGAAUACAAGAGGUCUACACCAACGGUGCCUAUUUAAUCAUGGCGGAAGAUGACUUAAAGAUCGGCCCCAUCAACAUAAGGUUUUUGAUAGGAGCAUAUUUAUGCAACUUAGUUAGCUUGUUUUCUUGCAUUCUCAUAGCCAAUUUCUACUUAUUAUAGUGUUUUAAGUUAUUUUUGUGUGUUUGUAGGUCCAAAUGACAAAGUUGGCAAGAAAGUGCAUUUUGGAGCAUUUUAGAGCAGGUUUGGGCAUCAAAUGGAUAGCUUAUGAGUGGAGCAAGAUGGAUGGACGAAUUUGAAGACCAAAGAUGUAUAGGACUGUGCUAAAGAGUUGAAGAAAUAAAUCCAAGACAAAGGAGAUAAGGACUCAGCUUAAAAGAAGGAACAUUAUCCAAAACCUUAUCCAACCUUAUCUUAUCCAAACUAACCUUAUCUUAUAUUAUCCUUUCCUAAUCUAGCCUUACCUUAUCUUAUCUUAUCCAAAUCAGUUUUUGCCUUAAUUCCAGCCAUUUAUAAGGGAUAAUUAUGCAUUUAAAAUACAUAUUUCAGAUUCUAGAACCCUUAUCCCUUAUGUGCCGCAUAUAUGCCUUAUCCUUGGUGAUUUAGGACUUGUAAUUAUUCUCUAAAACCUAUGCCGUGUAUCCUUGUCCCUUUAGGUUCAGAAAUAUGUGCUGAAACAUCCUUUCUAGAAGUUCUAAUACCUGUCGCACCCUCUAUCCCUAUUCUCUUUGGUUUCUGACUUCUAGAUGGCCUAUUCCUUGUGGAUUUGGAGUGUUAAGUUCUUCUCCAAUACAGAGUCUAUAUGCCGUGCCCUUUAGCCCUAUAAAUACAUCCUUUGUGCCACAUAAAUCACCACCACCCCCAUAUUCAUUCUACACCAUAAUUCACGCCAAUUUCUCAGAGAUUCAUCACGUAACAUAGCAAGGAAGGAAGGAAGGGGCUUUGUGCCGUGGCUUGCAAUCCAAGGAGGGUUCGAAUCUGCCAUUGGAGUUGCUAGGACAUUCUUGGUUCUUUCUAUCCUUAGAUUUAUUUCAAUGUUUCUUUUAAUUUGGUUUUAUGUUUUUAAAGACAUGAGGAACUAAUUUCUUUUUAGUUAGAGGUGAAUUCGAAGCCAUGAUUAUAUGCUUUAUAUGAAUUGAUUACAUCAAGUUAUUGUUUCUUGAGUCUUGAAUGUGAUUUAUUUAUCUGCGUUAUCAAAACUUGUUUAUGUAUGUUGAUUGAGGAUGCAUACUUAAUUUGCUUGCAUAAACUUAAGUAUAAGGGAGUUUCACCUAAUCGUUAUGAACUUAUAUUCAUAAGUAGUGGAAGUCACUAGUCAUGAUUGUGUUAAGUAAAUCCUUGUCAGGAGUAUCAUGCUUUUCAUAGUUAUGAAUGCCUCGUCAAUACUUAUGGUUUUCAAAGAACUUAAUGACCUUUGAUAUGUCUUUCUAUCAUGCUUUUCAUAGUUAGGGGACUUGAGAAGGAUAAUUUGGUUAUGAUUCGUAUCCCCUCCAAUUUAAUGAAAUAAGGAAAAUGUAAUGGUUAAUUUGUGCUGUCACGGUUAACUUGGGGUGUUGUCAUUCAUAGUCUAAGGGAACAAUACUGGAAAUUGGUUUAUGUUGCAUAUGGUUCAUGUGUGGAGAAGGAUCCUCUGCCUAAGUUUUCACCAUUCAAAUCACCUAAUUUACUUUGGUUGCAAUCUGUUUAGUUUAGUUAAAUUUCUUCCAAAUAACUCCCUAGAGUCUGUUUUGAGUCUUUUUAACUUAGUUUUGUUGUUUUGAGUGUUUUAAGUCAGUUUUGAGUUUAUAGAGUUUAGUUUAGUGUUUUUGAGUCUUACUUGUGUUGAUUAGCAUCCCUAGUUAAUCCCCAGUCUAGAACGAUCCCUACUUGCUUAAUACUACAAUUACAUGUUUAAUAUGGUUUAAUUUGUGUGUCGAAUUAAUUCUCACAUAAGUUCUUAAAGCGCUAUUAUUCUCGACCAAACUCAAUGCUCCUCGCCUGCAUGAGCCUAAACUGCACACUGUACAAUGCUCCUUGUUUGCACGAGUUUAAAAGGUGACACUCAAUGCUCCUCGCCUGCAUGAGCCCAAACUGCACAUGACACAAUGCUCCUUGUUCGCAUGAGCUUAAAAGGCAACACUCGACACUCCUUGUUUGCACGAGUUUAAAAGGCGACACUCAACGCUCCUGGCCUGCAAAAGCAUAAAUUGUGUACAACAAGAAUCAAAAUGACCAUCAAAACCAUAAAAAAAUAAUCCAUCACUCAUUUGAACUGUGUCAUUACUUGAUCCCUCCUCAACUGAGGGUAUGUAGGCAAGUAGAAACUUCAAAGCUUCAAGUACAGUUACAUCAUCAACAAAAAGCACAAACACUUUGAAGAAUAAAGAGUAAAUUCAAGAAUGUGAAUACUUUAUAUUUUAAAGGAAGAAUUCGGCUACAAAUUCGUAUUACAAAAUGAGCAAAAGAAAAAAAAACGAAGAAGGCUUAAAGUACAAGGAACGGAAGGCGCUA